rnacentral:rRNA from 1 species
UACGAAGGGGGCUAGCGUUGUUCGGAUUUACUGGGCGUAAAGCGCACGUAGGCGGACUAUUAAGUCAGGGGUGAAAUCCCGGGGCUCAACCCCGGAACUGCCUUUGAUACUGGUAGUCUUGAGUUCGAGAGAGGUGAGUGGAAUUCCGAGUGUAGAGGUGAAGUUCGUAGAUAUUCGGAGGAACACCAGUGGCGAAGGCGGCUCACUGGCUCGAUACUGACGCUGAGGUGCGAAAGCGUGGGGAGCAAACAGG